rnacentral:rRNA from 1 species
AUUGAACGCUGGCGGCAUGCCUUACACAUGCAAGUCGAACGGCAGCACGGGAGCAAUCCUGGUGGCGAGUGGCGAACGGGUGAGUAAUGCAUCGGAACGUACCUUUCAGUGGGGGAUAACGUAGCGAAAGUUACGCUAAUACCGCAUAUUCUGUGAGCAGGAAAGCAGGGGAUCGCAAGACCUUGCGCUGAUUGAGCGGCCGAUGUCAGAUUAGCUAGUUGGUGAGGUAAAGGCUCACCAAGGCGACGAUCUGUAGCGGGUCUGAGAGGAUGAUCCGCCACACUGGAACUGAGACACGGUCCAGACUCCUACGGGAGGCAGCAGUGGGGAAUUUUGGACAAUGGGGGCAACCCUGAUCCAGCCAUGCCGCGUGAGUGAAGAAGGCCUUCGGGUUGUAAAGCUCUUUCGGCCGGGAAGAAAUCGCAUGGGUUAAUACCCUGUGCGGAUGACGGUACCGGCAUAAGAAGCACCGGCUAACUACGUG